rnacentral:rRNA from 1 species
CAGCAGCCGCGGUAAUACGUAGGGGGCGAGCGUUGUCCGGAAUUAUUGGGCGUAAAGCGCGCGCAGGCGGUCCCUUAAGUCUGAUGUGAAAGCCCACGGCUCAACCGUGGAGGGUCAUUGGAAACUGGGGGACUUGAGUGCAGAAGAGGAGAGCGGAAUUCCACGUGUAGCGGUGAAAUGCGUAGAGAUGUGGAGGAACACCAGUGGCGAAGGCGGCUCUCUGGUCUGUAACUGACGCUGAGGCGCGAAAGCGUGGGAGCAAACAGGAUUAGAUACCCUGGUAGUCCACGCCGUAAACGAUGAGUGCUAAGUGUUAGAGGGGUUAAACCCUUUAGUGCUGUAGCUAACGCGUUAAGCACUCCGCCUGGGGAGUACGGCCGCAAGGCUGAAACUUAAAGGAAUUGGCGGG